rnacentral:rRNA from 1 species
GAUGAACGCUGGCGGCAUGCCUAACACAUGCAAGUCGAACGAAGCACUGAAGAAUGGAGAUCCGUCAAAGUUCUUCUUUGACUGAGUGGCGAACGGGUGAGUAAUGCGUGAGCAACCUGCCCUUCAGAGGGGGACAACAGUUGGAAACGACUGCUAAUACCGCAUGAUGUGUUCGGAUGGCAUCAUCUGAACACCAAAGGAGAAAUCCGCUGAGGGAUGGGCUCACGUCUGAUUAGCUAGUUGGUAGGGUAACGGCCUACCAAGGCUGCGAUCAGUAGCCGGACUGAGAGGUUGAACGGCCACAUUGGGACUGAGAUACGGCCCAGACUCC